UGUCCACAGGCCAGAGUAAACCCUAGAAACCCUGAAGCAAGAACCCUAGAAAUCUUGGUUCUCCUCUCUGGCGUGGUGGUUUUUCUUUCAUUGAGUUUCAAUAAGCUCCCUUAGAGCUAAAAACCUUUGCAAGGGCAUGCAGUCUUAUCCUGAUGAAUGCGUGGUGGCAAUGAUUGAUGGAACAUGUAUGUUGGAGCCUUUGUCACAAGAUUGAGUGCAGAAGCUUAGUACAGAGCUAUGGCCUCAACAGCAAGCAAGUUCACCUGGAUAAAGUCACUUUUGUCUGAUCUCAUCCUUAUCAUCUCUGAUCAGCAUGUUUUGCGAUAACAAAAGCGUAACUCAUAUAGCUGCGAAUCCUUUCAUUAAAGAACCAAGCAGAUAGAAGUGGGGUUAUGAAUUGUUAUUAACACUGGGUAGGUGGCUAAGAAGUUAGUAUUCACUAGGGCUCCUUUGGAUGUACCGAGUGCCAUAUUCCAGUCUUGUAUUGUAUGAAAAUCAUGAAAUUUGGCAUUCAAUAUAAAUACCUGGAACAAUAUCCACUUUUUUUGCUCAUAGCCGUAAGAGUGGCUAUUUUCUUUUAUUAA